GAUGAACGCUGGCGGCGUGCUUAACACAUGCAAGUCGAACGAUGAAGCCCAGCUUGCUGGGUGGAUUAGUGGCGAACGGGUGAGUAACACGUGAGUAACCUGCCCUUGACUCUGGGAUAAGCCUGGGAAACUGGGUCUAAUACUGGAUAUGACUUCUCAUCGCAUGGUGGGGGGUGGAAAGAUUUAUUGGUCUUGGAAGGACUCGCGGCCUAUCAGCUUGUUGGUGAGGUAAUGGCUCACCAAGGCGACGACGGGUAGCCGGCCUGAGAGGGUGACCGGCCACACUGGGACUGAGACACGGCCCAGACUCCUACGGGAGGCAGCAGUGGGGAAUAUUGCACAAUGGGCGCAAGCCUGAUGCAGCGACGCCGCGUGAGGGAUGACGGCCUUCGGGUUGUAAACCUCUUUCAGUAGGGAAGAAGCGAGAGUGACGGUACCUGCAGAAGAAGCGCCGGCUAACUACGUG
rnacentral:rRNA from 1 species